rnacentral:rRNA from 1 species
AUGGGAUGGGCACAGUAUGGCAGCCUCUCGAUAGUGCUCGCAGGCACCAAGUACCAUCCCCUCAGCCUCCAUUGCAAUACCAAGGUUGACAUGGAUCUGCGGGAGAAUGUCCGCGGACUGGGAGUUACCUGCCUCUGCCGCCUCGAGGGCAAGGAGGAACUCCUCCUUGGCCUCGGCGUGGCGGCCCAGGGCGUAGAGGCAGUUACCAGCGCGGAAGUGCGGGCGGACGUCGGUGGGCUGAAGCUCGCAGCCACGGCGGAAGCUGGCAAGGGCGUCUCGGAAGAGGCGGUGCUCGGAGAGCGCCCGGCCGAUGACCAUGUGGUUGUCGAAGGCCUCCUCGCGCGAGCGGGAGGCGUCCGCGCGCGUGCGGAGAACAGCGAGCUCCUUGACGAAGGUGAGGUAGUCCCGGCUCGUCUCGUCCCACGGCGCGGACGCCAAACCCGAAUCGGCGGAGGCGGAGAUCUCCCUGGACCAGCCGGCCUCGGAGAAGGAGUCGAGAUUGCUGCCGCCCCCGCUGGUGUCGAUGGAGGAGGUCUUCCGCAGCUGCUUGGAGCGGAGGCGCUUGACGAGUAUCUCCAGGUCGUCGAGGAGCGCCCAGGAGGAAUCGAACGCAAUCCCGUGGCUGGGCGAGGUCGCCCAGGCCGGCGCGGCGACGGCGGCGCGGGAGCUGGACGAGGGGCCCGUGCCGCCGAUGCCGAGCGGCCUGAGGUGGUCGUCGAGCAGCGAGGCGGCGACGGCGGCGCCGGAGGUCGGGGAGGGCGAGGCGGCGGCGUCCCCGGGCCCGAUCUCGGGGGAGGAGGCGUCGGAGUCGACGGCGGGCAGGGAGAGCGCGAGGAAGUCGCGGUCGACGUCCCCGGCGCCGUCGUCGUAGGUGCGGAGCAGGCCGGUGAGGGACAGGCCCUGGCCCCCCGGGAGGAUGAACUCUGCGUAGGUGCGGAAGACCUCGUCGAGGAUGGCGGAGAUCUGGUCGUCGCUGAACUUGACCCGCGGGUUGACGGCGACGACGAGCUUGGCCAUCUCGGCCCGGUCGAGCCCGCCGUCCCCGUUGGCGUCGAAGCGCUCAAAGAUCCUGCGCACCUUCUCGGCCCGCGCGCCCCUCCCCGCCGACGCCGCCGACGCGGACAGCGCCAUCGCGGGAAGCCGCGCGCUGGGUGGGGGGGCGGAGCGGCGAUCGACGGCGAAUUCGGCACGCGCGGGGGCGGGGGAUUUGAGGUGAAGGGGGGAGGCGGGGGUGGGGUGGGACCAGGGUGGAGCGGCGGUUGUGGUGCGGCGUGGGCGUGGGCGUGGUGUGGUGGAGGUGGAAGGGAGGGAGACGAUGGUUGGAGGGGGGGGAGGUGGCAGCCUGGCUUGUGGCUGGGCUAG